AGCUGGCAAAUCAAAAGAACAGUAAGUGUACUGAGAAAAGGGUUGUCAGCCAUGGCCCAGGUGGGGCUUUGUAAAAGCAGAUCAUUUUCACCAGGUGGGGUUUUCUUUGCAGAGCUUCUAAAGGGCAUCGACCUAGGCAGUCUGGUGGACAAUGAGGUGGACCUGAAGAUCGAGGACUUUAAUCAGAAUGUCCUUCUGAUGUCCCCCCCAGCCUCUGACUCAGGGUCCCAGGCUGGCUUCUCUCCCUACUCCAUUGACUCUGAGCCAGGAAGCCCUCUGUUGGAUGAUGCAAAGGUCAAAGAUGAGCCAGACUCUCCUCCUGUGGCGCUGGGCAUGGUAGACCGCUCACGGAUUCUUCUGUGUGUCCUCACCUUCCUGUACCUCUCCUUUAACCCCCUGACUUCCCUGCUGCAGUGGGGAGGGGCCCACGAC
rnacentral:sRNA from 1 species